rnacentral:rRNA from 1 species
CCCAACCCGGGGAAGCCGUCCAAUACUGCAGGACUUGAGGGCAGCAGAGGGAGGUGGAAUUCCCGGUGUAGCGGUGAAAUGCGUAGGUAUCGGGAGGAACACCAGUGGCGAAGGCGGCCUCCUGGGCUGUACCUGACGCUGAAUGCGAAAGCUAGGGGAGCAAACGGGAUUAGAAACCCCGGUAGUCCUAGCUGUAAACGAUGGAUGCUAGAUGUAGGGGGUGUAGAUUCCCUCUGUGUCGUAGCUAACGCGUUAAGCAUCCCGCCUGGGGACUACGGCCGCAAGGCUAAAACUCAAACGAAUUGACGGGGGCCCGCACAAGCAGCGGAGCGUGUGGUUUAAUUCGAUGCUACACGAAGAACCUUACCUGGGCUUGACAUGCAGGUAGUAGCGAAGCGAAAGCGGAGCGACCCUUCGGGGAGC